GACGAACGCUGGCGGCGUGCUUAACACAUGCAAGUCAAGGGGGCCCGCAAGGGUAACCGGCGAACGGGUGCGUAACACGUGAGCAAUCUGCCUCGAUGUGGGGGAUAGCCGGCCCAACGGCCGGGUAAUACCGCAUACGCUCUCUGGGUGGCAUCACUUGGAGAGGAAACAUUUUUUGGCAUUGAGAGGAGCUCGCGGCCUAUCAGCUAGUUGGUGGGGUAAUGGCCUACCAAGGCUUUGACGGGUAGCUGGUCUGAGAGGAUGGCCAGCCACAUUGGGACUGAGAUACGGCCCAGACUCCUACGGGAGGCAGCAGUGGGGAAUAUUGCGCAAUGGCCGAAAGGCUGACGCAGCGACGCCGCUGGGGGAUGAAGCAUUCGGUGUGUAAACCCCUGUUGCCCGGGACGAACAACUGGUUUUGACCACGGUCUGACGGUACCGGGUGAGGAAGCACCGGCUAACUCCGUGCCAGCAGCCGCGGUAAU
rnacentral:rRNA from 1 species